AAGUGGUUGGACUCCUUCUAAAUUUAGAGUACAAUUAGUAGAUUACAAUUGGCUUAACCCUACUGCACGAACCGAACUUGAUAUAAGUGCGGUAGGGGUAAAUUCUCCGCGUUCGGUGCGG
rfam:Human coxsackievirus B4 polyprotein-like gene, complete sequence.